AUUCCGGAGAGGGAGCCUGAGAAACGGCUACCACAUCCAAGGAAGGCAGCAGGCGCGCAAAUUACCCACUCCCGGCACGGGGAGGUAGUGACGAAAAAUAACGAUACGGGACUCAUCCGAGGCCCCGUAAUCGGAAUGAGUACACUCUAAACCCUUUCGCAAGGAUCAAUUGGAGGGCAAGUCUGGUGCCAGCAGCCGCGGUAAUUCCAGCUCCAAUAGCGUAUAUUAAAGUUGUUGCGGUUAAAAAGCUCGUAGUCGAAUUUGUGUCUCGUGCCGCUGGUUCAUCGUCCGCGGUGUUAACUGGCGAGUCGCGAGACGUCCUGCCGGUGGGCUUAGCCCUCAUGGGCGGCCCAACUCAAUCCUGCCGCGGUGCUCUUUACUGAGUGUCGAGGUGGGCCGGCACGUUUACUUUGAACAAAUUAGAGUGCUUAAAGCAGGCUAAAACUUCGCCUGAAUACUGUGUGCAUGGAAUAAUGGAAUAGGACCUCGGUUCUAUUUUGUUGGUUUUCGGAACCCCGAGGUAAUGAUUAAUAGGAACGGAUGGGGGCMYUSGUWKWKCSWSSYWRKAGGUGAAAUUGUUGGACCGUC
rnacentral:rRNA from 1 species